rnacentral:rRNA from 1 species
ACACUCCUACGGGAAGCAGCAGUGGGGAAUAUUGGACAAUGGGCGCAAGCCUGAUCCAGCCAUGCCGCGUGAGUGAUGAAGGCCCUAGGGUUGUAAAGCUCUUUCACCGGUGAAGAUAAUGACGGUAACCGGAGAAGAAGCCCCGGCUAACUUCGUGCCAGCAGCCGCGGUAAUACGAAGGGGGCUAGCGUUGUUCGGAUUUACUGGGCGUAAAGCGCACGUAGGCGGACUAUUAAGUCAGGGGUGAAAUCCCGGGGCUCAACCCCGGAACUGCCUUUGAUACUGGUAGUCUUGAGUUCGAGAGAGGUGAGUGGAAUUCCGAGUGUAGAGGUGAAAUUCGUAGAUAUUCGGAGGAACACCAGUGGCGAAGGCGGCUCACUGGCUCGAUACUGACGCUGAGGUGCGAAAGCGUGGGGAGCAAACAGGAUUAGAAACCCUUGUAGUCCCAUGAU